AGGUGUGGAGCCCAACGCCUGCGAACAAGGCUCCUGACAUUAGGCCUCUGCAGAGAUGCAGCUCCAUACCCCCAGGAAGGCAGUGAUUUGCUCUGGGAAAACGUCCCAAGCCUGCUCAUUCUUUACGCAGAUGUCCUUCAGCCCUCAGAGGUAGCCCUUCUAGACCCUGUGCUCAAGACAGCUUGUGUGGGCCUCUCUGGUGGGGGUGCUGUGACUGCCCGAGGCCUGGCCGGCCCCCAACCGGCCUCAUCUCACUCAUGUUCCUCAGGCUGAGGGAUGGAGCCCAGGGAAUUGGUGGAUCUCUGAGCCUUCCAGUGACUCCUGGAUGUGGUGAGGCCCCUCUGCCUGCAGGCCAAGGUUGGGGUUCAGUGGGGGGCUCUGAGCACCUCAGAUCCCUUGCUCCCAUCAGUCUGUGGAAUAAUUAAUUUUCCUAGCUCAAGGCUUGGCCUUUGACUGGACUACAAGGAGCCUUAGGCAAGGAGCCUGCUCUGGGUGUCAGCACCCAGGUUCCAGCUUGAGAACCCACAGGAGCUCCCUUGUCCAACCCCGGAAGGGCCAGCUUCACCUGCAGGCUUCAGCAUUGCUGGCUCCGGUUCCUCAGCCCAUGUUUUCUUUGGCUUUGGGUCUCUGGGACACCAGAUUGUCCAAAACAAGAUGACUUCGUGAUACUCAUUUUCCCAAACAA